rnacentral:rRNA from 1 species
AAAGGUGCUUGCACCUUUCAAGUGAGUGGCGAACGGGUGAGUAACACGUGGACAACCUGCCUCAAGGCUGGGGAUAACAUUUGGAAACAGAUGCUAAUACCGAAUAAAACUUAGUGUCGCAUGACACAAAGUUAAAAGGCGCUUCGGCGUCACCUAGAGAUGGAUCCGCGGUGCAUUAGUUAGUUGGUGGGGUAAAGGCCUACCAAGACAAUGAUGCAUAGCCGAGUUGAGAGACUGAUCGGCCACAUUGGGACUGAGACACGGCCCAAACUCCUACGGGAGGCUGCAGUAGGGAAUCUUCCACAAUGGGCGAAAGCCUGAUGGAGCAACGCCGCGUGUGUGAUGAAGGCUUUCGGGUCGUAAAGCACUGUUGUAUGGGAAGAACAGCUAGAAUAGGAAAUGAUUUUAGUUUGACGGUACCAUACCAGAAAGGGACGGCUAAAUACGUGCCAGCAGCCGCGGUAAUACGUAUGUCCCGAGCGUUAUCCGGAUUUAUUGGGCGUAAAGCGAGCGCAGACGGUUUAUUAAGUCUGAUGUGAAAGCCCGGAGCUCAACUCCGGAAUGGCAUUGGAAACUGGUUAACUUGAGUGCAGUAGAGGUAAGUGGAACUCCAUGUGUAGCGGUGGAAUGCGUAGAUAUAUGGAAGAACACCAGUGGCGAAGGCGGCUUACUGGACUGCAACUGACGUUGAGGCUCGAAAGUGUGGGUAGCAAACAGGAUUAGAUACCCUGGUAGUCCACACCGUAAACGAUGAACACUAGGUGUUAGGAGGUUUCCGCCUCUUAGUGCCGAAGCUAACGCAUUAAGUGUUCCGCCUGGGGAGUACGACCGCAAGGUUGAAACUCAAAGGAAUUGACGGGGACCCGCACAAGCGGUGGAGCAUGUGG